UGGUAUCCGCGAGACAGGAACGCAGCUGAUAGAUUGUAUCCGUGCACCGUAAGCGAGAUCAGGUAGAUUGUGCAGAAAGCAGCAAGGUUAUGUAAUGGAGGAGAAUAUGAACAGAAUACAGUUGAAGUGCAAAAUGUUACAGCACACUUGACAGAUUCAUUGCAAGCUGACAUAAGACGCUUAUGCGCGAAGCAGGCGUUGUCAGAUGAUUCAGACGUUUGUUUCAAAAGAAUUGCGGAACGGUUAGCAACUGUGUUACAUAAAGUUAAAUACGCCAGAGAUCUAAAAAAAAUUAUAACACGCUCUUCACCAACAUAUAUUUACUCCUAGAUUUGCGCUUUAUUCAUCAGGCUAUUUAAUAAACCCAAAAUCAGAACUAUCAA